GAGAGAGAGAGAGAGAGAGAGAGAGAGAGAGAGAGAGAGGGAGGGGGGGGGUUAGCUUAGAAUUAUAUAUUGUUGCUUUUUUUGAUAUGUAAGUUGAUAAUAUUUAUGAUGAUGGUUUGGAUGAAAUAUAGUUUGUACUUUCAUUUUUUGGUUUUGAUACUUACUGUGUAUUUUAGUAUGUGGUACGCAAUGAUAUUUGCUAUGUAUUGUAUCUUGUUUUGAAAUUUGAUAUGUGCUUUGAUUUUCAUGUUUGAUUAAAAUUCGGUAUGUAUUUUAUUUUAAGAUUUAGUGUAUUUUGUUAUACAAUUUAUAUUGUAAUUUGAUUUAUAUUUUAGUUAAUUAACUAGUCU
rnacentral:lncRNA from 1 species